CCUACGGGGGGCUGCAGUGGGGGAUAUUGCACAAUGGGGGAAACCCUGAUGCAGCGACGCCGCGUGUGGGAAGACGGUCUUCUGGAUUGUAAACCACUGUCCCCAGGGACGAAAAUGACGGUACCUGGGGAGGAAGCUCCGCCUAACUACGUGCCAGCAGCCGCGGUAAUACGUAGGGAGCAAGCGUUGUCCGGAAUUACUGGGUGUAAAGGAAGCGUAGGCGGGGAUGCAAGUUGGGUGUCAAAACUACCGGCUCAACCGAUAGUCGCACUCAAAACUGCAGCUCUUGAGUGAAGUAGAGGCAGGCGGAAUUCCUAGUGGAGCGGUGAAAUGCGUAGAUAUUAGGAGGAACACCAGUGGCGAAGGCGGUCGGCUGGACAGCAACUGACGCUGAGGCGCGAAAGCGUGGGGAGCAAACAGGAUUAGAUACCCCAGUAGUC
rnacentral:rRNA from 1 species